rnacentral:rRNA from 1 species
GAUGAACGCUGGCGGCGUGCCUAAUACAUGCAAGUCGAGCGAACAGACGAGGAGCUUGCUCCUCUGACGUUAGCGGCGGACGGGUGAGUAACACGUGGAUAACCUACCUAUAAGACUGGGAUAACUUCGGGAAACCGGAGCUAAUACCGGAUAAUAUAUUGAACCGCAUGAUUCAAUAGUGAAAGACGGUUUUGCUGUCACUUAUAGAUGGAUCCGCGCCGCAUUAGCUAGUUGGUAAGGUAACGGCUUACCAAGGCAACGAUGCGUAGCCGACCUGAGAGGGUGAUCGGCCACACUGGAACUGAGACACGGUCCAGACUCCUACGGGAGGCAGCAGUAGGGAAUCUUCCGCAAUGGGCGAAAGCCUGACGGAGCAACGCCGCGUGAGUGAUGAAGGUCUUCGGAUCGUAAAACUCUGUUAUUAGGGAAGAACAAAUGUGGAAGUAACUAUGCACGUCUUGACGGUACCUAAUCAGAAAGCCACGGCUAACUACGUG